rnacentral:rRNA from 2 species
AAAUUGAAGAGUUUGAUCAUGGCUCAGAUUGAACGCUGGCGGCAGGCCUAACACAUGCAAGUCGAACGGUAACAGGAAGCAGCUUGCUGCUUCGCUGACGAGUGGCGGACGGGUGAGUAAUGUCUGGGAAACUGCCUGAUGGAGGGGGAUAACUACUGGAAACGGUAGCUAAUACCGCAUAACGUCGCAAGACCAAAGAGGGGGACCUUCGGGCCUCUUGCCAUCGGAUGUGCCCAG